UGGGGAAUAUUGGACAAUGGGCGCAAGCCUGAUCCAGCCAUGCCGCGUGUGUGAAGAAGGUCUUCGGAUUGUAAAGCACUUUAAGUUGGGAGGAAGGUCAGUAGCUUAAUACGUUGCUGAUUUGACGUUACCGACAGAAUAAGCACCGGCUAACUCUGUGCCAGCAGCCGCGGUAAUACAGAGGGUGCAAGCGUUAAUCGGAAUUACUGGGCGUAAAGCGCGCGUAGGUGGUUAUGUAAGUUGGAUGUGAAAUCCCCGGGCUCAACCUGGGAACUGCAUCCAAAACUGCAUAGCUAGAGUACGGUAGAGGGUGGUGGAAUUUCCUGUGUAGCGGUGAAAUGCGUAGAUAUAGGAAGGAACACCAGUGGCGAAGGCGACCACCUGG
rnacentral:rRNA from 1 species